UCACAUUUCAGCCAAUCAGCAGCAGACCCUCCCUCCCAGACCCUUCCAACUCCUGGACAGCUCACUAAGAAUGCAGCUUCACAAUGAAUGUAAAAUGGAUGCUGUCCAGGAGGUGGGAGGGUCUGGGAGGGAGGGUCUGCUGCUGAUUGGCUGGAAUAUGUCU
rnacentral:miRNA from 1 species